rnacentral:ncRNA from 1 species
CAAUAUUAGUUAGAGUGAGGAAAUUGAUAAGACCCCAUGAACAAGUAAACAUCUAGAGGACAAAAUGAAUGUAAAAUGUAGAAGCGUUCAAUAGCGACGUCGCUUUUUGAUCCUUCGAUGUCGGUUCUUCCUAUUAUUGUGAAGCAAAAUUCACCAAGCGUUGGAUUGUUCACUUAUGCAAGAGAGCGUGGGCUGGAUUUAGACCGUCGUGAAACAUGUUAGUUUUACCAUACUAAUGACAUGUUUUAGUAACAGCAUUCCUGCGUAGUACG